UGGGGAAUAUUGCACAAUGGGCGCAAGCCUGAUGCAGCCAUGCCGCGUGUGUGAAGAAGGCCUUCGGGUUGUAAAGCACUUUCAGCGGGGAGGAAGGCGUUAAGGUUAAUAACCUUGGCGAUUGACGUUACCCGCAGAAGAAGCACCGGCUAACUCCGUGCCAGCAGCCGCGGUAAUACGGAGGGUGCAAGCGUGAAUCGGAAUUACUGGGCGUAAAGCGCACGCAGGCGGUCUGUCAAGUCGGAUGUGAAAUCCCCGUGCUCAACCUGGGAACUGCAUUCGAAGCUGGCAGGCUAGAGUCUUGUAGAGGGGGGUAGAAUUCCAGGUGUAGCGGUGAAAUGCGUAGUGAUCUGGAGGACUACCGGUGGCGAAGGCGGCCCCCUGGACAAAGACAGACGCUCAGGUGCGAAAGCGUGGGGAGCAAACAGG
rnacentral:rRNA from 1 species